AUUCUACUCCCUCCGUUGCACAAUACAUGCCUUCUAUUUGUCAAAAUAUAUAUGUAUCAAGACAUGUUUUAGUAUAUAGGUACAUCCAUUUUUGGACAAAUGGAAGUCAAGUAUUUUGGAACGAAGGGAGUACACA
rfam:Triticum aestivum genome assembly, contig: Triticum_aestivum_CS42_TGACv1_scaffold_131340_2BL